rnacentral:rRNA from 1 species
GGCGAACGCUGGCGGCGUGCCUAAUACAUGCAAGUCGAGCGCAGGAAAUCGACGGAACCCUUCGGGGGGAAGUCGACGGAAUGAGCGGCGGACGGGUGGGUAACACGUAAAGAACCUGCCCUCAGGUCUGGGAUAACCACGAGAAAUCGGGGCUAAUACCGGAUGGGUCAUCGGACCGCAUGGUCCGAGGAUGAAAGGCGCUUCGGCGUCGCCUGGGGAUGGCUUUGCGGUGCAUUAGCUAGUUGGUGGGGUAAUGGCCCACCAAGGCGACGAUGCAUAGCCGACCUGAGAGGGUGAUCGGCCACACUGGGACUGAGACACGGCCCAGACUCCUACGGGAGGCAGCAGUAGGGAAUCUUCCACAAUGGACGAAAGUCUGAUGGAGCAACGCCGCGUGAACGAUGAAGGCCUUCGGGUCGUAAAGUUCUGUUGUAAGGGAAGAACAAGUGCCGCAGGCAAUGGCGGCACCUUGACGGUACCUUGCGAGAAAGCCACGGCUAACUACGUGCCAGCAGCCGCGGUAA